UACAGAGGGUGCGAGCGUUAAUCGGAAUUACUGGGCGUAAAGCGCGCGUAGGCGGCUUUGCAAGUCGGGUGUGAAAUCCCCAGGCUUAACCUGGGAACUGCAUUCGAGACUGCAUUGCUAGAGUAUGGGAGAGGGAAGUGGAAUUUCCGGUGUAGCGGUGAAAUGCGUAGAUAUCGGAAGGAACAUCAGUGGCGAAAGCGGCUUCCUGGUCCAGUACCGACGUUCAGGCACGAAAGCGUGGGGAGCAAACAGG
rnacentral:rRNA from 1 species